ensembl:lncRNA
CAUGACAUGUCUUUCCUGAGACGGUGGUGGUGUGUUUUCCUGGUGGAAAACCUUGGGCUGGAAGGGUAUGCUGCGGUGCUACAAACAUAAUAUGUAUUUAUUUAUGUAUUAUCAAGAGGAAUUUGGGAUAAGACCUGGUAAUAAAUGUAAUGCUCUGGUGUUUUAAUUGCAGGUAUGGGAGGAAGUUCGCCCACUUUAUUGAGGAAGGAAAAUCAACCCUCCGAAACAAUGUUCAUGUCCCACCUGUCUUCAGAAAACGAAACGAAAAAGGACACUUUCAAGCUGCACAGUGGUCAGUGCUAAGUACUUCAUGUAUCUUUAUGGCUCCUGCAGUAGGUUUAGUUUGGUACUGUGUCAUUCUGAAUCCAACCUGGAUCGCUUUUUCAAGUGGUAAACCUUUGCAUAUUAAACAUGAUGGCGCAAUAAUGAUGUUUGGUUUACAGAUGCCAUUGGACUCUGACGAGGACCAUGCUUACAAUCAGAGGCCUUACAGCUUGCCUUCUAAGGAGAUGGGCAGUGGAGUUACCAUGGACAAAGAUGUCUUCAGCUUCAAAGAAGACACAUCUCUCAUUUAACCAACCAUUAAGUCAUUUAUUGGUAUAGGCUUUAAUAAUUAAAAUACUUUUGGCAUGGAGCUUUUUAUAUUCUAAGGUUUAUGCCAAUAUUUGGAGGUGAGAACAUGAUGCUACUGCAUGUAAAGUCUCUAGUGCAACCUGCUGUCUUCACCUUUAGCCAAUAUGUAUCAUCACAAUGUUCGAGUUGUGGUUUACGACACACACAUUUUUGAAUUUAUUGGGAGCUUUUCAAUACAAUAAUAAGGGUCCAAGUACUGAUUCUCUGUUGUCACUGGUUCACUUUUAUUUCUUUUCUAGAUAGAAAUAGUCUGAAAUGUCUUAAGCAUGAGAUUUUUACAAAGCUUACAAAAGUAAGAAAAACAUGCUUUUUUUUUUUUUUGACUUGGUCUUUAUUGGAAGUAAGACAUAUAUUGUACAUACAGUAACAGAAAUAAAGUACAGACAUACAUUGGAAAAUAGGUUAACAGGUCUAUAUUAAUGAAAAGAAAUAAGAGAAAUAAUAAAAAAACAAAAAAAAAUUAAAAUAAAUACAAGGGUGGCCUUUUAACAGGAGGAGACUUUAAUAAUAAUAAUAAUAAUACAUUUAAUUUAGAGGCGCCUUUCAAGACACCCAAGGUCACCUUACAGAAGCAUAUAGUCAUCAUUCAAAACUAUGUAAAACAGACUAGGAAUAAAAGGAAAACAGAGGUUAAACAUGAAGAAUAAUAACAGGAGCCACAUAUGGCUAUAUGAGUCCUUUAAUAUAUAAUAUAAUUCUUGAUAUUCUAUAAUAAUGUUUAUAAUUUAUUUUAUUAUCUAGACAUGUCUUCAUACAGUAUGUUUAAUUUCGUAUCCAUUUUACCCAGUUCCUAGCACAUAACUCUUCUUUCAAUUUCAGUUUAUACGUUAACCAUUCCAUCCCCUGGAUUUCCUCGAUUAUAGAUAGCCAUUGCUUACAUUGUGGCAUGUCUGCUUUCAGCCAAUUUUUAGUGAUUGUCUUCCUGCUCGCUGUAAGAAUAAUUUUCACCAGAUAUAGAUCAUCUCUAGCUACACACUCUACUAAAUGUCCGAGGUAUAGGACUGUACAUGUAAAGGGAAUUGGAUAUCCCAGGGUCUGGCAUACAACUUUAUGUACCUCUUUCCAAAAAGGUUCUAUUUUCUUGCAGCUCCAAAAAAUAUGUGUAUGAUUUGGUGACAUCUCACCAAAUUGUCUCCAGCAUGCUUGUGGAGUUGAUAACUGUUUACUUGUUAUUAAUGGAGCGAUAAAGUAACGGAUCUGAUUUUUCCAGGCAAACUCUCUCCACUUAUGUGAUUGUGUGGUGGUCUGGUGACAUUGCCACAUUUCAUACCAAAUCUCAGUAGAGAUUUCCUCAUCUAGCUCUUUCUCCCAUUUGGCUUUUAUACAUAAUGUUGAGUGUUGUUUGGAUUCCAUUAAACAAGUAUAAAGAAUUGAAAUUGCCUUAGGUAUUUCUCUACAGUAUGACGCCACAAGAAUCUUGAUCAGGGGAUGAAUCUCCACAUCCUUCUUUCUUAUUUUUUUUUCAUAGUAGUCCCUCAUCUGUAGAUACCUGAACAGAUCUGCGUUCCUUACACCAAAUCUAUCUUUCAUUUCUUGGAAACUCAGCAUUACACCUUCCUUGAUAAUGGUACACAUUGCCGUAAUGCCAAAAUGUACCCAUCCUCUAUAGGUAAUGUCCAUCUUCCCUGGAAUAAAUUCUCUGUCAAAUGCAACCCAUUUUAGAAGACUAAGUUCCCUACCUAUUUUCAACUGCUUAGAAGAGUGCCAUGUAUCUAGCGUAAAAGAUGUUACUGGAAAACAUGCUUUUAACAGAGGCUAUGUGGCUUUCCCUAAGGAGAAGGAGAGGAGAUGCUCUUUGCAUCUGAGUUCAUGAUCCAGGUUGAUCCACAACCACUCACAACAUUCCUAAAAGCUGUUGUGUGUUAAGCUGCACACUCAAUAAAAGUUAUUCAAAUGUUAAAAACGGUUUGUAAAC